rnacentral:rRNA from 1 species
GCCUAACACAUGCAAGUCGAGCGGUAGCACAGAGAGCUUGCUCUCGGGUGACGAGCGGCGGACGGGUGAGUAAUGUCUGGGAAACUGCCUGAUGGAGGGGGAUAACUACUGGAAACGGUAGCUAAUACCGCAUAACGUCGCAAGACCAAAGUGGGGGACCUUCGGGCCUCAUGCCAUCAGAUGUGCCCAGAUGGGAUUAGCUAGUAGGUGGGGUAAUGGCUCACCUAGGCGACGAUCCCUAGCUGGUCUGAGAGGAUGACCAGCCACACUGGAACUGAGACACGGUCCAGACUCCUACGGGAGGCAGCAG